rnacentral:tRNA from 1 species
GGGAGGGUGGUCUAGCUUGGUAUGAUACAUUGGUUUGAAGCCGAGUGGUCGGGGGUUCAAUUCCCCCCUCUCCCA